rnacentral:rRNA from 1 species
UACGUAGGUGGCAAGCGUUGUCCGGAUUUACUGGGCGUAAAGAGCGCGCAGGCGGUCGUUCAAGUCGCGUGUGAAAGCCCCCGGCUCAACUGGGGAGGGUCACGCGAUACUGAUCGACUCGAAGGCAGGAGAGGGUAGUGGAAUUCCCGGUGUAGUGGUGAAAUGCGUAGAUAUCUGGAGGAAUACCGGUGGCGAAGGCGGCAUCCUGGA